GCGGAAGUGGCGAAAUUGGUAGACGCGCUACCUUGAGGUGGUAGUGGGGUAAUCAUUCCCCUUGGGGGUUCAAGUCCCCCCUUUCGCA
rnacentral:tRNA from 1 species